rnacentral:lncRNA from 1 species
UAGUGAGGAACUUAAUUACAUUCGAUUGCUGCCAAACGAAAGCUUACAAAGUUUUAUCAUCUGGUUUCGGCGACUAGUAGCUAAAAAAGACCCUCCUCCCAGUGAGGACGAUCAGGUUCGCUUCUUCACGAACGGCCUGCCUCCUGAAUAGGCUUUCUUCACGAAGGGCAAGACCCCCACAACACUUGCUGAGGCUAUUUCCUCGGAUUCCAGUUGGGAGCAAGCCCGUGUGAGCAUGGCUCGCUUCCAGUAGCCUUUCUACUCCGUUCCUUCAGUGCUUGGCGGCCCACCAGUGAUCCCGCCAACCUUUCCAAACAUCAGCAGCAUCACAGCCAUAUUCUUCGCUCACUGACCCAGCAAGCUUACCUUUUCCUGGAACUGUCGAUUACAGCCACCUCCAGCGGCAUAUACUUCCUGCCGUGGCUACUUCCUCUUCAGCUCUGCCACAGUCGCAAGGUGAUGACUUGGAAACACUCACCAAGAAAAUGUCCGAGCUUCAGCUUAACUGGAUUCGGAGUCCAGACACCUCCUCAGCCUGUUACUGAACGUGAGAAUAUCUGGUGUACUCGUUGCAAGGGAUAUGGACAUUAUCCCAGCGAAUACCCAAGUCCUGCACCAGCUCGAGUCAAGUGCCAGCACUGCAGACGAAAUAAUCACAGAUCAGAGCACUGCAUAUAUAAACCCGCUACCUCAGCUCAGCCAGCUCCUCGCUUGCCUGCACGUCCCAGCUACCACGUCCAGCUUCUUCAAGAUCCAUUGCCACCU